CACGUGAAUCAUCUACCUCCGAGUGGGGAAUAACUUCGGGAAACCGAGGCUAAUACCGCAUAACACUUACGAGUCAAAGCAGCAAUGCGCUUGGAGAGGAGUUCGCGGCAGAUUAGUUAGUUGGCGGGGUAAUGGCCCACCAAGACGAUGAUCUGUAUCCGGCCUGAGAGGGCGCACGGACACACUGGAACUGAAACACGGUCCAGACUCCUACGGGAGGCAGCAGUGGGGAAUUUUGCGCAAUGGGGGAAACCCUGACGCAGCAACGCCGCGUGGAGGAAGAAAUAUCUUGGUAUGUAA
rnacentral:rRNA from 1 species